rnacentral:tRNA from 1 species
GGUAAGGUGGCCGAGUAGUAGGCGGCAGGUUGUAGCCCUGUACAGGCGGGUUUAGUCCCGUCCUUAUCAA